AGUCGACCCCUAAGGCGAGGCCGAAAGGCGUAGUCGAUGGGAAACAGGUUAAUAUUCCUGUACUUGGUGUUACUGCGAAGGGGGGACGGAGAAGGCUAUGUUGGCCGGGCGACGGUUGUCCCGGUUUAAGCGUGUAGGCUGGUUUUCCAGGCAAAUCCGGAAAACUAAGGCUGAGGCGUGAUGACGAGGCACUACGGUGCUGAAGCAACAAAUGCCCUGCUUCCAGGAAAAGCCUCUAAGCAUCAGGUAACAUCAAAUCGUACCCCAAACCGACACAGGUGGUCAGGUAGAGAAUACCAAGGCGCUUGAGAGAACUCGGGUGAAGGAACUAGGCAAAAUGGUGCCGUAACUUCGGGAGAAGGCACGCUGAUAUGUAGGUGAAGUCCCUCGCGGAUGGAGCUGAAAUCAGUCGAAGAUACCAGCUGGCUGCAACUGUUUAUUAAAAACACAGCACUGUGCAAACACGAAAGUGGACGUAUACGGUGUGACGCCUGCCCGGUGCCGGAAGGUUAAUUGAUGGGGUCAGCGCAAGCGAAGCUCUUGAUCGAAGCCCCGGUAAACGGCGGCCGUAACUAUAACGGUCCUAAGGUAGCGAAAUUCCUUGUCGGGUAAGUUCCGACCUGCACGAAUGGCGUAAUGAUGGCCAGGCUGUCUCCACCCGAGACUCAGUGAAAUUGAACUCGCUGUGAAGAUGCAGUGUACCCGCGGCAAGACGGAAAGACCCCGUGAACCUUUACUAUAGCUUGACACUGAACAUUGAGCCUUGAUGUGUAGGAUAGGUGGGAGGCUUUGAAGUGUGGACGCCAGUCUGCAUGGAGCCGACCUUGAAAUACCACCCUUUAAUGUUUGAUGUUCUAACGUUGACCCGUAAUCCGGGUUGCGGACAGUGUCUGGUGGGUAGUUUGACUGGGGCGGUCUCCUCCUAAAGAGUAACGGAGGAGCACGAAGGUUGGCUAAUCCUGGUCGGACAUCAGGAGGUUAGUGCAAUGGCAUAAGCCAGCUUGACUGCGAGCGUGACGGCGCGAGCAGGUGCGAAAGCAGGUCAUAGUGAUCCGGUGGUUCUGAAUGGAAGGGCCAUCGCUCAACGGAUAAAAGGUACUCCGGGGAUAACAGGCUGAUACCGCCCAAGAGUUCAUAUCGACGGCGGUGUUUGGCACCUCGAUGUCGGCUCAUCACAUCCUGGGGCUGAAGUAGGUCCCAAGGGUAUGGCUGUUCGCCAUUUAAAGUGGUACGCGAGCUGGGUUUAGAACGUCGUGAGACAGUUCGGUCCCUAUCUGCCGUGGGCGCUGGAGAACUGAGGGGGGCUGCUCCUAGUACGAGAGGACCGGAGUGGACGCAUCACUGGUGUUCGGGUUGUCAUGCCAAUGGCACUGCCCGGUAGCUAAAUGCGGAAGAGAUAAGUGCUGAAAGCAUCUAAGCACGAAACUUGCCCCGAGAUGAGUUCUCCCUGACUCCUUGAGAGUCCUGAAGGAACGUUGAAG
rnacentral:rRNA from 1 species